GGGUCAUGAAACUUGCACAAACUCGUGGAGAACUUUUAAUGGAGAUAUAAUCAUAACCCUGUCUUCCUCUUUCAGCGGACCGUCUUUAAAAAAGCACCUGUCCCGUGAAAUCAGGUUCGAAACAUUAAUCCUGACAACAUCCUGCUAACGGCAGACGGUCACACGUGAUUGAGUGAUUCUGGCUCCUGGCUCCUUGCUCCUGGCUCCAGUCCAUGAUUUUUGUCUGCCGUUAAAUGACUGCUCACUGCUCCAGGACGGGUCACAGAAGAUGAAAGCAGAAGAAGCUAGCGGUGAACCCAGGAUUGACCUCUCACAUGCGCAGAAUGAGGGAAAGCUUUGUUUCAGAUUGUCUUAAAAUAGGAACUAGUUCCUCAUUUUUCUCUUGGAGUAUUCAGAAUAUAACAGUCAACAGUUUCUGGUGGGAAACAAAUUUUGCCGGCUCUACGAAACUGAGAAUCGUCUCACGUUUUGGUUGAUUUAAUAAAGCAUUGAUUCGGCUCAUCACUUCACAUUUUGCUUUGAUUUCACAACAAAGGACAGAAAUAAGGUGUUAAAACAUGAAAGCACCCAAAUUUUGUGGCGCAAAAAAGUAGGGUAGGAUGAGAGAGAGAAGAAAUGGCAGGUAAUGCAAUAUUCAUGUGCACAAGGCAGAUUUCCCUUUAGUUCUCAUGAUUAGAGGAGAGAAAUCUUCACCCGGCCCAUCUUCUCAGAGGAUGGAUGCAUUAAUGGCAAGAUGUUAUUUUUUUGGUACUUUCAGAGAAGAGAGAAGAUGUGGCUUCAUCAAGGAGAUGCACUUCUCCUUCCCCUGCUCUUUGAUGUAGUGAAACGACGUCCACGGUUAACCCUGCGUGUGCAGCGGCUGAGUAUUUCUCUUUCAAGCCUGAGAUGAUGAAAGUGAUGGUGCCGUGGUAGCGCUGUGUUGGGGGGAGUACAGCUUCUCUCGGAAAAGAGAUGUGACCCUGAUUGAAAUGAGGAACAUAUUUGAUCUUAAAAUGAAGUGCUUCCUUGCUUUGCACUAAUGCACUCAUCUUUGAUGAUCAAACGUAAUUGAUAUUACUACAUUGCCUUUAAAGCUUACUGAACGACACUCCAGCAUAUUGUCCAGGGAAUAUUGGAGUCACUGGUGGAAGGAGGUUUACUGUUUAGGAUAUUUCCAGAUGAGAUCGGCAUUAUACAGUAUAUGCAUUUGAACAUUUGAAAAUAAAUCCAUCAAUUGGUGUAUAAAACUUUUCCUUUUAUUUUUUUUGUUUAUUUUCAUAUCUACUGUAAAUAUAUUGAUA